AACAGUUAAAAAUCUAAUCUUGCAACAGUUCUUCACAUGAACAACAUAAUUUGCUUGACUUGGAACCAAUAUAUCAUCACAUAAUUGCAAUGUCACAUAACAGCAACAUAAUCUCUCACAUCAGCAUGACUUGGAACCAAAAAUAUCUCGUACGUUUUCAGCAUUCACAAGUCCGAGGAAAGGCAUGCGUACAUUUAAGCAUGCUGAGAAUACAUAAGACAUGCGUACAUAAGCAUGCUGACAACAAUAGCGCCGACACAAAAGCAACUGACGAGACUCAAACAGACGAUUUCGAGGGACCCUGCAAACGUCCCAUUCUUCCCGUGCUUUGUUCCACUUCUCAACCUGGUUUAAUGACACCAGAAAAAAAACUGAUGAUACUGAAGAAAACAAGGUAAUAGUAUGAAUUAUUUCAUGGCCUUGUUAGAGCUACAUCAAGACCAACAGAAUACAGAAACUUCCAGACCGAACAGAUUUUUCGUGGAAGAGAAAAACUCACAACAAAGUCCGAUGAGCAAACAAUUUAUUUGCAGUUUGAAACAGUCACAAGGCAAGACAAGCACAAGAGUAGUCUCAAGUAAUUUCUUUUAAAAAAUGUGCAGUAAUUUCUUGAAAAAAAAUGUGCAGUCACAAACCAAAUUGCCUCCCUUCUGAAACUCCAAACACUACUACUACACUGUCUUAUCUUAAAAAGAAUGUGCAGUAAUUUCGUUUGCAUAUACUAUGUUAGUGAGCUAAGUAAAUAAAGUACACUACCUUCGCCAAGCUCUGCUGCACACGGCGAUAAAUUCCUUUUGAAGUAAUCUAUCCAUCCUGGAAAACAAGUGCAGCAGAAAUGGGCAAUUAAGACAGACUUGUAGCUUGUCGUCGACAAAAUAGGCAAUUAAAACAGAACUACAGAACACUGGGUUCUGCACAAACUGAUGCAGCAAAAACCUAUGCGAGGGCCAUGAAUUUUAAGCACAAACUUUUGGAGCUGAAAUGAAGAGUGGAUUACUUAUUUUGGUAAAGUAUUUGCGCUGGGAUCACUGGAUCACUCAGGGAUGGUACUCAGGUAAAUACGUGGACUGAUCACUGGAUCUCGGCGAGUGCUACAGCCUCUGUCAGCAUAAUAAUCUACAGUACAAGAAUAGAGGAAAACAAGAAAUCUCCACCAACCAAAUAAGAAGUCAACAAUGCUUCUUGCUGUUGAUGCUAAAUAAACAAGCAAGCAGGUGCACAGCAUUGUAGAACAAGACGGAGCACUGCUCCAAUAUCCAUUACAGAGUUGCAGAAAAGAUGCACAAAUGGAGAUCAACUUUGUCCCCAGCAAAACAACACAAUGCAUCAAAUACACAUCUGUUCCUAAAUCACAAACCCAUCAUAGAUGGGCAAAACAUCUCUUGAUAAAUAAAGAUAUAUGUUGAACUCCACUCCACUCGUCUCAGUCGGAUUUCACAGACUCGUCGUCCUCCUCCCACACCAAGUUGAUGCAGCCAACGAACCAACAAAGCAUUGGCACCGAUUCGGCAGUUCACAUCAAGCAUUACCACUACUACUUGCAGAUAACCACAUCAAGCAUUACCACUACUUGCAGUUCACAUCAAGAUUCGGAGUCGACAGUGAAUCACUAAACCAACAGUAACCUGCUACUAGAUAUAGGGGACACAAUCUAAGAGGAGGUGAACUUGGUGAUGGCUUUGGUGCCGGCCCUCGGAUACGUCGUGCUUGGUGAGCUCGCCGGGGAAGAUGAGGCGGCAACCAUGGCCGGGCGGAUUGAAGAACCCUAGACGACGAGGGGAAAGGAGGGGAGGCGAGGCGAGGGCUUACCACCGAGGAGAAGGCCAGUAUGGAGGAGGAGGUACGCCAGCGUAGAGAUGUCGUUCGACGGCGUGUUGAGUAGGAAUCGAGCGGCGGCGCGGUGAGCAGGCGGCGGCGGCGUGGUGUCGUUCCUCCCAAAUCCGCGAGGCCCCCCUCGAGGGUUC
rnacentral:lncRNA from 1 species